GGGGGAGUAGAGUUAUAGGGUAGUCUUUGGUACAAGAGUACUAGUCGGACAAGACUAUAGAGUUCUACUCUAGCUCGGUAGAGUAGUUUCCUUGUAUUCCACUAGUCCUUCAGGAGUUCCAUGUAGUCUAUAUUGCCCUGUAGCGUAGUCUUCAUGUCCUGAUACAUCUCGAGUACGUCCCCUUGAGUGGGUUCGUACGGACCUUCUGGUGGGCCCGGGGAUGUAUGGUCGACAUAUAGGGCCAUCAUCCUCUCAUAGACCAUCUAGCUCUAGAGGUCCUCCACCCUCCCGUGCUCCUAAGAAGAAAGGGAUCUUCAACUUUUUAUCAUAAGGUCUCUUUGCAUGCUUCAAUGUGGGCCGCCACAAUGCGGAAGAAAUGUAUGCCCACAGGAAGAAUGUGGAUGAGUAGCUUCUAAAGAUUGAAAAGAGGCAAAAGGAGCUCAUGGUUAAAAGUGAUAUACCACAUUCUCCCGUCCGUACUCCUAUGGAUUAUCC
rnacentral:lncRNA from 1 species